GACAGAGGAGGCGAGCGUUAUCCGGAUUUACUGGGUGUAAAGGGCGUGUAGGCGGUCUCUCAAGUCCGAUGCUAAAGACCGAAGCUCAACUUCGGGGGUGCGUUGGAUACUGUGAGGCUAGACGGUCGGAGGGGGUAGCGGAAUUUCCGGAGUAGCGGUGAAAUGCGCAGAUACCGGAAGGAACGCCGAUAGCGAAGGCAGCUACCUGGACGAUUGGUGACGCUGAGGCGCGAAAGCGUGGGGAGCAAACCGG
rnacentral:rRNA from 1 species